UUCCGCUUUUGUAGGAGGGCAACCUCUCAAU
rnacentral:piRNA from 1 species